UACAGAGGUGGCAAGCGUUGUUCGGAAUUACUGGGCGUAAAGGGCGCGUAGGCGGCCAUCUAAGUCAGACGUGAAAUCCCCCGGCUUAACCUGGGAACUGCGUCUGAUACUGGACGGCUCGAGUUUGGGAGAGGGAUGUGGAAUUCCAGGUGUAGCGGUGAAAUGCGUAGAUAUCUGGAGGAACACCGGUGGCGAAGGCGGCAUCCUGGACCAACACUGACGCUGAGACGCGAAAGCUAGGGGAGCAAACGGG
rnacentral:rRNA from 1 species